GACGAACCGUGCGAACGUUGUUCGGAAUCACUGGGCUUAAAGGGCGCGUAGGCGGUCGAUCAAGUCCGGGGUGAAAUCCUGCAGCUUAACUGUAGAAGUGCCUUGGAUACUGAUCGGCUCGAGGGAGGUAGGGGUCUGUGGAACUUCUGGUGGAGCGGUGAAAUGCGUUGAUAUCAGAAUGGAACGGCCGGUGGCGAAAGCGGCAGACUGGACCUCUUCUAACGCUGAGGCGCGAAAGCUAGGGGAGCAAACGGG
rnacentral:rRNA from 1 species